GAUGAACGCUGGCGGCGUGCCUAAUACAUGCAAGUCGAGCGAACAGACGAGGAGCUUGCUCCUCUGACGUUAGCGGCGGACGGGUGAGUAACACGUGGAUAACCUACCUAUAAGACUGGGAUAACUUCGGGAAACCGGAGCUAAUACCGGAUAAUAUAUUGAACCGCAUGGUUCAAUAGUGAAAGACGGUUUUGCUGUCACUUAUAGAUGGAUCCGCGCCGCAUUAGCUAGUUGGUAAGGUAACGGCUUACCAAGGCAACGAUGCGUAGCCGACCUGAGAGGGGGAAGGCCACACUGGAACUGAGACACGGUCCAGACUCCUACGGGAGGCAGCAGUAGGGAAUCUUCCGCAAUGGGCGAAAGCCUGACGGAGCAACGCCGCGUGAGUGAUGAAGGUCUUCGGAUCGUAAAACUCUGUUAUUAGGGAAGAACAAAUGUGUAAGUAACUAUGCACGUCUUGACGGUACCUAAUCAGAAAGCCACGGCUAACUACGUG
rnacentral:rRNA from 1 species